CACAGAAGUAGCUGCCAACCACUGUUGUCAGUGACAAUGUGGCUAGGUGAGAUAAGGGACCUUUGGAAAAUUCAUGUAAACAAAAAUUAUGUGGUCCUUGAUAACCUGCAGGGAAAGGUUUGUGUGGCUUCAGAGGAGCUAAGGACUUGAGAUAUUUGCUGAAGUUGUGUGACAGAUUAAUCUGUUCUGUGAAGUGUGGACACAUCUGGGUAUAAGCAUAUACAAAUGUUAUGGCAUAAGAAAUUUUCCAUUUCCAGAUAAUUAAAAUUUAUUUUCGGAACAGAAGUUGCUUUCUUCUGCCUCAGCAACAACUAAAAAGGAAUGUGGAAGACAUGGAUCUGCUCAUCUUGUUUAUUAGUCACCAACAUCCCCAUCUCUAUCACCAAUGAGCCACAGAAAAUGGAAACU